GACGAACGCUGGCGGCGUGCUUAACACAUGCAAGUCGAACGGGUCUGCCCUGUUUUUUGCGGGGUGGGUCAGUGGCGAACGGGUGAGUAACACGUGAGUAACCUGCCCCUCACUUCUGGAUAACCGCUUGAAAGGGUGGCUAAUACGGGGUGUUCUGGCUGUGCCGCAUGGUGUGGCUGGGAAAGAUUCACUUUUGUGGUGUUUUGGUGGGGGAUGGGCUCGCGGCCUAUCAGCUUGUUGGUGGGGUGAUGGCCUGCCAAGGCUUUGACGGGUAGCCGGCCUGAGAGGGCGGGCGGUCACACUGGGACUGAGAUACGGCCCAGACUCCUGCGGGAGGCAGCAGUGGGGGGUAUUGCACAAUGGGCGGAAGCCUGAUGCAGCGACGUCGCGUGAGGGAUGGAGGCCUUCGGGUUGUGAACCUCUUUCGCCGGUGAAGAAGGUCCUGCUCUUUGUGGUGGGGUUGACGGUAGCCGGGUUAUGAAGCGCCGGCUAACUACGU
rnacentral:rRNA from 1 species